rnacentral:rRNA from 1 species
AUUGAACGCUGGCGGCAUGCCUUACACAUGCAAGUCGAACGGUAACGCGGGGGCAACCCUGGCGACGAGUGGCGAACGGGUGAGUAAUACAUCGGAACGUACCCAGUAGUGGGGGAUAGCUCGGCGAAAGCCGGAUUAAUACCGCAUACGACCUAUGGGUGAAAGCGGGGGGAUCGCAAGACCUCGCGCUAUUGGAGCGGCCGAUGUCGGAUUAGCUAGUUGGUGAGGUAAAGGCNCACCAAGGCUACGAUCCGUAGCUGGUCUGAGAGGACGACCAGCACACUGGACUGAGACACGGCCCAGACUCCUACGGGAGGCAGCAGUGGGGAAUUUUGGACAAUGGGCGAAAGCCUGAUCCAGCCAUGCCGCGUGUGUGAAGAAGGCC